rnacentral:snoRNA from 1 species
CUGCGAUGAUGGCUUUCUUAGGACACCUUUGGAUUAAUAAUGAAAACAACUACACUCUGAGCAGC